ACACACACACAGUCUCAUAGAAUGUAUGUCGCGUUUAACGCAAUACAAUACAACUUUCAGCAACGGAUCUCUUGGCUCUCGCAUCGAUGAAGAACGCAGCGAAAUGCGAUAAGUAAUGUGAAUUGCAGAAUUCAGUGAAUCAUCGAAUCUUUGAACGCACCUUGCGCCCUUUGGCUAUUCCGAAGGGCAUGCCUGUUUGAGUAUCAUGAACACCUCAACUCUCAUGGUUUGCCAUGAUGAGCUUGGACUUUGGGGGUCUUGCUGGCCUAUGGGUCGGCUCCUCUCAAAUGAAUCAGCUUGCCAGUGUUUGGUGGCAUCACAGGUGUGAUAACUAUCUACGCUUGUGGUUUUCCAUCAGGUAACCUUCAGUGAUGGAGGUUCGCUGGGGCUCAUAAAUGUCUCUCCUCAGUGAGGACAGCUUUUUGAACGUUUGAUCUCAAAUCAGGUAGGACUACCCGCUGAACUUAAGCAUAUCAAUAAGCGGAGGAAAAGAAACUAACAAGGAUUCCCCUAGUAACUGCGAGUGAAGCGGGAAGAGCUCAAAUUUAAAAUCUGGCGUGCCUCUGGUCGUCCGAGU
rnacentral:rRNA from 1 species